GCUUUCCUCUGCCUCAGUUGGUAGAGCAUUGUGCUAACAACGCAAAGGUUGUGGGUUCAAAUCCCAGAGAAAGCA
rnacentral:tRNA from 1 species